rnacentral:rRNA from 1 species
GGUUCAGGAUGAACGCUAGCGACAGGCUUAACACAUGCAAGUCGAGGGGCAGCAUAAAAGUAGCAAUACUUGGUGGCGACCGGCGCACGGGUGAGUAACGCGUAUGCAACCUACCUAUCAGAGGGGAAUAACCCGGCGAAAGUCGGACUAAUACCGCAUAAAACAGGGGCACCGCAUGGUGAUAUUUGUUAAAGAAAUUCGCUGAUAGAUGGGCAUGCGUUCCAUUAGGUAGUUGGUGAGGUAACGGCUCACCAAGCCGACGAUGGAUAGGGGAACUGAGAGGUUGGUCCCCCACACUGGUACUGAGACACGGACCAGACUCCUACGGGAGGCAGCAGUGAGGAAUAUUGGUCAAUGGGCGGGAGCCUGAACCAGCCAAGUCCGCGUGAAGGAAGAAGGAUCUAUGGUUCGUAAACUUCUUUUGCAGGGAAAUAAAGUGCAGGACGUGUCCUGUUUUGUAUGUACCCUGAGAAUAAGGAUCGGCUAACUCCGUGCCAGCCGCGGC